rnacentral:rRNA from 1 species
AGUGGCGAACGGGUGAGUAACACGUGAGUAACCUGCCCUUAACUCUGGGAUAAGCCUGGGAAACUGGGUCUAAUACCGGAUAGGAGCGUCCACCGCAUGGUGGGUGUUGGAAAGAUUUAUCGGUUUUGGAUGGACUCGCGGCCUAUCAGCUUGUUGGUGAGGUAAUGGCUCACCAAGGCGACGACGGGUAGCCGGCCUGAGAGGGUGACCGGCCACACUGGGACUGAGACACGGCCCAGACUCCUACGGGAGGCAGCAGUGGGGAAUAUUGCACAAUGGGCGCAAGCCUGAUGCAGCGACGCCGCGUGAGGGAUGACGGCCUUCGGGUUGUAAACCUCUUUCAGUAGGGAAGAAGCGAAAGUGACGGUACCUGCAGAAGAAGCACCGGCUAACUACGUGCCAGCAGCCGCGGUAAUACGUAGGGUGCGAGCGUUAUCCGGAAUUAUUGGGCGUAAAGAGCUCGUAGGCGGUUUGUCGCGUCUGUCGUGAAAGUCCGGGGCUUAACCCCGGAUCUGCGGUGGGUACGGGCAGACUAGAGUGCAGUAGGGGAGACUGGAAUUCCUGGUGUAGCGGUGGAAUGCGCAGAUAUCAGGAGGAACACCGAUGGCGAAGGCAGGUCUCUGGGCUGUAACUGACGCUGAGGAGCGAAAGCAUGGGGAGCGAACAGGAUUAGAUACCCUGGUAGUCCAUGCCGUAAACGUUGGGCACUAGGUGUGGGGACCAUUCCACGGUUUCCGCGCCGC